UUGGAGUUUUAUUUAUUGAAAUAUCUUCUCAGGGCAGCAUGUCAUACGAUUGGCUCUGGGAGACAGCCAAUCGAAACACUGGGGGGCGUGGCUAUCAGUAAUUUGUAAUUUGCGCCAAACGGCAAUCCCUACGGAGCAACGAGGCGGAGAGGACCACGAGAGUUAAAUAGAGUAAGGGAGAAUCCUUGAAAUAAAGAGACAAUGCAGAAGGUGUGGCUUGAAGGAAUAGCAAAAAAUCUGAGGAAACCCAAAGAUUCUAAAGUAAAUACAGAAGUCCAACUUAUUAAUGGAAAUGAGAAGGAAUUUAUGGACUCCUACAUCACCAAGAUCCAAGAGGAAAGGAAUUAUUUUUUCCAAGCACCUAAGUCCACCAGCAAAGACUAUUAUUUUUAUGCCUGUGAAAGAUCAAAUAAGGCAAAAGGACAAAGCAAAGGGGAGUCCAGUAAAACAAGAGCCAAUUCCUGCCAGGCUUAUGUUUCUUUUAAAAUGGUCAGGGAGGCUGGAUACAAAGCUGUAAUAAUUCGACACAUGUUGGAACAUACAGGACACAAUGUAUCCAAUCCUGAAGAGCUAACGAAGAACCCAGUUGAUCCUGAAUUAUUAGGAUUUGUGGAGAUGUGGCUUAACCAAGGACUGUCAGUAUCCCAAGUUGUGUUAAAAAGUUGUAAUUGGGCACAAAGUCAUGGGCACACAGAUAAGCACAACAGAAGAUACUAUCUCACCCCUAAUGAUGUUAGAUUAGUAAAGCGAAGUUUGCAAUCCAUCAUUUUACCUGAUAUUGAUGAUUCUGUGAGUGUUGACAAGUUGAUCAGCACUGACCUGAAGGAAAACAUUUGUUUUUAUCAACCAAUCACAAAAGAUCAACCUUUGAUCAUAGUAGUUCAAACACCAGCACAGAAGGCUCUUUUGCAAGAAAAUCCCAAUCCCAUGAUUUUCAUGGAUGCGUCCUACAAAGGUUUAACCUCAUAUGGUUAUGCCUUUUAUGCCCUUUUAUUAGUGAAUCAAACAGGAAGAGGAGUUCCUUUUGCCUACUUUAUUGUAAGCCAUGAAUCAUCUGAAACACUGACUGUUUGCUUGAAGAGCCUAUCCUCGUGCAAUCCAGGCUUUUACCCAAGGUCAGUAAUGAUAGAUCGUGACUUAAAAGAACUUGGUGCCAUACGACAGACCUUCCCAAAGACCAAAGUUCUCUUAUGCUGGUUUCAUGUUUUGCAGGCUGUACAUCGCUGGCUGGUGAAAAAAGAUGGAGGAAACCUAUCACCUGCCCAAAGAAACACCGUUAUACAUGCCAUGAUGACAAUGAAAGCCUGCAUGACGGUACUAAAGGAGGGAUUUCUGUGACAUCUUGCAACUGAAUGAAGAAGAUUUUGAAAGUGUGUCUGCUUCAAAGUGUAGAGACCUUGAGGCCCAGUUUGGUAGCAGCCGGGUAACCCAUUACCUCAGGGACCAAUGGUUUCCUUUCGCCGCACUCUGGGCAAACUUUGGACGAUUGUUUCAGCACAACAGCAGUGACACCAACAACAAAGCAGAGAGGUACUGGCAUAGAGUAAUCAUACAGGUAGUUCCUGCAAUCAGUUAUUAAGGAAUUAUGUAAAUAAAGCAAACUUGUAUGUUUCCACAGAUUAAUCUUAGCAACUGUAAAAUGGCAUAAUGUAUUUCAUUUAAAAUUAUGAUGUUAAAUGCAAAGAAUUUUGCAUCACUAUUAUUACUUAACAGCAACCUGCAUUACUCUGUGCCUAAUCCACAGCUAUUCUGACAUCACUCCUUUGUUUCUAAAUCCACAGCUAUAAUGACCAUCAUUCUUGUUUCUAAUCCACAGCUGUUCUGACCAUCACCCCUGUUUCUAAUCCACAGCUAUUCUAAGAAUCACUCCUGUUUCUAAUCCACAGCUAUACUGACCAUUGCUCCAUGUUUCUAAUCCACAUCUGUUCUGACCAUUACUCCUGUUUCUAAUCCACAUCUGUACUGACCAUCACUCCUGUUUUUAAUCCACAUCUGUACUGAACAUCACUCCUCUGUUUUUAAUCCACAGCUAUUCUGACCACCACUCCUGUUUCUAAUCCACAUCUGUACUGAACAUCACUCCUCUGUUUUUAAUCCACAGCUAUUCUGACCACCACUCCUGUUUCUAAUCCACAUCUGUACUGACCAUCACUCCUGUUUCUAAUCCACAUCUGUACUGACCAUCACUCCUGUUUUUAAUCCACAUCUGUACUGACCAUCACUCCUCUGUUUUUAAUCCACAGUUGCAAUCCUGUUCCUAAUCCCAAAAACACUAAUACCACAGUAACAGGAACAACCACCUUUGCAACCACCUAGCAAGAAGCUUCAGGUGUGAAAUUAUUCUGCUGUGUUAUUCAGGAUUUUACUACAGGUGCAUGUAUGUUUCUUCCCCUUUUCAGAUUCUUCUUCACUAUAAAAUACCAGUUUUUGCGAGGUCAAGCAAACAAACGAGUUGACCAGCUUCUUCAAUUGCUUUGUGGAGAUGUCCAAAAAUAUUACAAUUAUUUGGAUGACCUCAUACAUGCUGGACGACUUAACACUUCUUCAUCAUCAUCAUCAUCAUCAUCAUCUACUUCUGUACCUACUACAAGUAUGCUGGGGGAUGGUCUGCAUGAAAAAAUUCACAUAGGUGAAGAUGGGAGAUGUUCACUGCCAGAAGAUUUCAUGUCAACAGUGUCAGACCCUCGUAUAAUUACAGUUGAUUUAGUCUGGAUGCUCUGUGACUGCAAAACCUAUGACAGAGGCAAUCUGUGCAAGCACACCAUGAUGGCCAAAACUGAGGCACAAAGAAGAGGCAUAAACAUACAAGUUUUACGCAAUAGAGUGGCAAAACAAUAUUUUGACAAUGAUCAGUUCUACAUAGAUGGAGACUGUCUUUCAGUAUACCAUCAUGAUGGCAAUGCCACAUUUGUCUUUAGAGGUGAAUCUGCUUUUUGCACUUGUACUGCCAACAGUUACCAAGAAAAAUGUGUGUGCCUACAUCUUGCGGAUAUCCCUUGAAAUUAACAUGACCUCUUCUUGCAUGGCCAUGACUGAAAGUGAGAUUGCCCAUCAGCUGUGUCCUAAACCAAAGCCUACAGUGCAGACCAUGCUGUCAGACUUGCUUGAAUGGAGUCACUCACCAAACUACAAGUACAGCAGAGAACUGCACAAUACAAUCCAGAAAGCACACAAAAUGGCAUUUGCAAACUUUGGAAUAGUUUCUAAGAAACGCAAAAUCUCUGCCCUGCAUGCAUAUCGGCAACGUAUUGAGAAGGCCAAACGUGAAGCUAGAGAGACUUUUAAACCUGUAAGGUCACACAGGUUACGUGUGCGGAACAUAAAGAAGAAAAGUGUGUCAAGAGAGGGAAUUGUGUAACUGUUGGUCACAUUUCUUUUCUCCUUUUCUCAGUGAACACUUUAAAAAUAUGGUGGAUAUACCCUAAUGGUAAUUUAUCAGCUCCAAUGAACAUGUAGGACCACUUUGUUACAGCAAAUUACAUUUGCUGUCAUCCAUCAGUCACAGCAGUUACCUAGUUCUUCAAUACUAAGUAUCCCCAUGUAGCAGGUAUUAUUUGUGUUGUUUUUCAUUCUCAGCAUUGCAGUGACACUUAUGUGUUGCUGGUGUGGGUAGAUCAGACACAGCUGUGCUGUGCUUUUUUUUUUUUUACCUCUUGUGACACUUUGGACUGGUCCACCAACCAAAACUUUUUAGCCAACUGGAAAGCACUGAUGAAGGACUAUAACAAAAAUGGCAGCAAUAAUUGAGCCAUCAUCUCUGACUUUACAACUAGUUAGGUCAAGGUAACUCAACAGAAUGGACAGUGUUUAAAAACUCCACCAAGUGUAUAUUUGGAUGUUGAUUCUUGAUAUGGAUGUUAUAAAUGUAAAUAAAUUGUUGAUUACUUUGUUUUUUAA